UACGAAGCGUGCGAACGUUGUUCGUAAUCACUGGGCUUAAAGGGCGCGUAGGCGGGCUGUCCAGUCUGGGGUGAAAUCCCGCGGCUCAACCGUGGAACUGCCUCAGAUACUGACGGCCUCGAGGGAGAUAGGGGCAUGCGGAACUGUAGGUGGAGCGGUGAAAUGCGUUGAUAUCUACAGGAACUCCGGUGGCGAAGGCGGCGUGCUGGAUCUCUUCUGACGCUGAGGCGCGAAAGCUAGGGGAGCAAACGGG
rnacentral:rRNA from 1 species